AGCUUUGAUCGUCCACUUCGAAUCGAUCUGUGGAAGAGGCAAGAGUGGUCGGUGUUUUGUCUCGUGUCGUGGUGUGAUUAAAAAGUAGUGUUAGCUUAGUGUAAAACCCUAGCAAGCUAGUUAGUAGGCGGCAAAGUGUGUGUCUCGAAGAAAGUACAAGGUUCGUGGCAGCGGAGGCCAUUUGCCGUCACACCACCCUAUUGUCAGAGACCGCUUUUGACCCCACCUAUCGGUUUCGGAGGAUUCCCGGGGCACACGUGGCCGGAAGAGGGUCG